AGCGAACGCUGGCGGCAGGCCUAACACAUGCAAGUCGAACGAACUCUUCGGAGUUAGUGGCGGACGGGUGAGUAACACGUGGGAACGUGCCCUUUGGUUCGGAAUAACUCAGGGAAACUUGAGCUAAUACCGGAUAAGCCCUUACGGGGAAAGAUUUAUUGCCAUUGGAGCGGCCCGCGUCGGAUUAGCUAGUUGGUGAGGUAAUGGCUCACCAAGGCGACGAUCCGUAGCUGGUCUGAGAGGAUGACCAGCCUCACUGGGACUGAGACACGGCCCAGACUCCUACGGGAGGCAGCAGUGGGGAAUAUUGGACAAUGGGCGCAAGCCUGAUCCAGCCAUGCCGCGUGGAUGAUGAAGGCCCUAGGGUUGUAAAGUCCUUUUAACGGGGAAGAUAAUGACGGUACCCGUAGAAUAAGCCCCGGCUAACUUCGUGCCAGCCGCCGCAGUAA
rnacentral:rRNA from 1 species